AUUGAACGCUGGCGGCAGGCCUAACACAUGCAAGUCGAACGGUAACAGGAAGAAGCUUGCUUCUUUGCUGACGAGUGGCGGACGGGUGAGUAAUGUCUGGGAAACUGCCUGAUGGAGGGGGAUAACUACUGGAAACGGUCGCUAAUACCGCAUAACGUCGCAAGACCAAAGAGGGGGACCUUCGGGCCUCUUGCCAUCGGAUGUGCCCAGAUGGGAUUAGCUAGUAGGUGGGGUAACGGCUCACCUAGGCGACGAUCCCUAGCUGGUCUGAGAGGAGGACCAGCCACAGUGGAACUGAGACACGGGCCAGACUGCUACGGGAAGCAGGAGUGGGGAAUAAUGCAAAAUGGGAGCAAGCCUGAUGCAGCAAUGCCGAGUGGAUGAAGAAGGCAUUCGGGUUGGAAAGUACUUUCAGCGGGGAGGAAGGGAGUAAAGUUAAUAACUGUGAUCAUUGACGUUACCCGCAGAAGAAGCACCGGCUAACUCCGUG
rnacentral:rRNA from 1 species